AACGAACGCUGGCGGCAGGCUUAACACAUGCAAGUCGAACGGGCCCUUCGGGGUCAGUGGCAGACGGGUGAGUAACGCGUGGGAACAUGCCCUUCAGUUUGGGAUAACCCAGGGAAACUUGGGCUAAUACCGGAUACGUGCGAGAGCAGAAAGAUUUAUCGCUGAAGGAUCGGCCCGCGUCUGAUUAGCUGGUUGGUAGGGUAAUGGCCUACCAAGGCGACGAUCAGUAGCUGGUCUGAGAGGAUGAUCAGCCACAUUGGGACGGAGACACGGCCCAACCUCCUACGGGAGGCAGCAGUGGGGAAUAUUGGACAAUGGGCGCAAGCCUGAUCCAGCCAUGCCGCGUGAGUGAUGAAGGCCUUAGGGUUGUAAAGCUCUUUCAGUGGGGACGAUAAUGACGGUACCCGCAGAAGAAGCCCCGGCUAACUUCGUGCCAGCCGCCGCCGUAA
rnacentral:rRNA from 1 species